GGACCAUCAUCUGGAUUCCUAGACGUGCAACUGCAAGCUUAGAAGAAAUAAAGGAAAUAUCCCAGGAGCAAAAACAAAACACACACAUGCUCCUCUCAAGAGUCACUGGCAUCCCAGCUGAAAAGUCAGCUCUACACCUAUGGGACCUAUGGGCCUGUUUCUGAGCUCUGUUUUGUCUCUUUGGUCUGAGUGUCUAUCUGAGGCCAAUACCACAGUACCAAAUGCGAUUGCUUUAGAGGAAGUCUUGAAAUCAGAUGAGAGAAAUGAAAAUAAAGUCAGCCUCCAUAAAAUUAUGAAGAAGAAAGGCAGUAUCAUAAUGAUUAUGCAGGAACCAAGGACUGGCCUGGAAGAUGGGCCCCCAAGCUCACAGGGACACCAGCAGGCACUGCUUCUAGACAUGGAGCCUCAGUUCCAGAAUGUCCCGUGACAUGACCAGGAGUAGGGAACCAGCCCUCCCGACCUCCAUGUCUUAUUUGCCAGGCAGGGGUAACUGCAGGCUGGCCCUGACCAGGAUGACCACUGGCUCCCACUGUGGAUGCAUUUCGUGCGUGGCCUGCAUUGGACAUCGGCUCACCCAUGUGCUGGGGUGUCCAGGGUCCAGGGGAAGCUCCAGGACACAUUUGAGGAUCAGGAGAGCAACCUGCAUAGUGCAGGACUCUUGUCAGGGAGACCACGACCCGGGAGCCUUUCCUAGAAGACACAGAGUCCCCAAAAAUACCUGUGACAAGGGUCUCAUCACAGCACUGUCUGAGAGUGCUUGGAGAGAGGGAACCUGCCUGCAGCUGUUCCCAGAGCAGUGGGGCGGGGGACACUCCCCUACUGAAGAAGGCAUUUCCUUUUGGCGCCUCCAGUUCCCCCUGCCAGGACGUCAGCACCCAGGCUCUGAUGUGGGCUGCUGGGGGCCACGGCACUGCAAUGCUGCCCUGGAUUGAAUGGGGCGGGGGCUAUAGAUGUAUAAUACAAGUUGGAUUUUAGAGACUUGGUAUGUGGCAUAGAGUCUCAAAUGUCCAAAGAUGUGUCGCAUUGAUUUCAGGGUGAGUGGAUAGUUGUUCUGAUAUACUGAGUUCAGUAAAAUACAUCGGCAGCAGGAAUUUUA
rnacentral:lncRNA from 1 species